AUAAUAAAUUAUUAUUUUAGGAUCUUGUAUUGCUGAAGGACCAUCCGGAGACCGAAUUAGGAUUAGUGAUGAUGGUACCACGUUGGUAGGAGGAUGUGCACUUUGCGAAUGCGAGGCUGCUCAAGAAACUGAUUACCCUUUGUUUUGGCGUAGAGAUAGCAAUCCACCACUCCUUUCUCAGAGACGCGCGAUUUGCGAUACAUCAGCAUGCCAACCUGAGAAUCCUUGUAGUAAUACUGAUCCGUCAUUGGUGUUUCCAUCCUCGAGGGAUGUGCCACCUUGCACUUUCGGCUGCCUUUGCUUCACCAAUGGUGAUGUCCGACUUUGUAUUGAUCCAGCCCCAUGUGACGUCACAAAUAAGUGCAUAACACCCGAGUUAUCAUGUGGAUGCCCGACUUGCCCAGAAGUUGGAAAUUGUGUUGCGAUGGUUGAUGAAUUUUUCUAUCUAAUUAAUGAUGAUGGCCCAACGACGGUAGCUGGUUGUGCAGUUUGUGAGUGUAAUCCAAUUUCGAAUCCUAUCCCGUUCCCCGGAUUUUGGUUGCCAGGAAACAAACCACCAACUGUUCA